rnacentral:tRNA from 1 species
GGAGUUGUAGCUCAGUGGUAGAGCACUUGCCUAGCAUAUAUGAGACACUGGGUUUGAGCCUCAGCUCCA